rnacentral:rRNA from 1 species
CGGUUGAUCCUGCCGGAGGUCACUGCUAUUGGGAUUCGACUAAGCCAUGCGAGUCGAGAGGGUUCGGCCCUCGGCUGACGGCUCAGUAACACGUGGAUAAUCUGCCCUUAGGUGGAGGAUAAUCUCGGGAAACUGAGGAUAAUACUCCAUAGAUCUAGGAUGCUGGAAUGCAUCUAGAUUGAAAGCUCCGGCGCCUAAGGAUGAGUCUGCGGACUAUCAGGUUGUAGUCAGGGUAAAGACCUGACUAGCCUACGACGGAUACGGGUUGUGAGAGCAAUAACCCGGAGACGAUAUCUGAGACACGAUAUCGGGCCCUACGGGGCGCAGCAGGCGCGAAAACUUCACACUGUGCGAAAGCGCGAUGAGGGAAUCCCAAGUGUUUGCUCGUAAGAGUAAACUGUUUCUUUGUUUAAAACGCAGAGAGAGUAAGGGCUGGGUAAGACGGGUGCCAGCCGCCGCGGUAAUACCUGCAGCUCGAGUGGUGAUCAUUAUUAUUGGGCCUAAAACGUCCGUAGCCGGUUUAGUAAAUGCCUGGGUAAAUCGUGUAGCUUAACUAUACGACUUCCGGGUAGACUGCUGAACUUGAGACCGGGAGAGGCUAGAGGUACUCCUGGGGUAGAGGUGAAAUUCUGUAAUCCUAGGGGGACCACCAGUGGCGAAGGCGUCUAGCUAGAACGGAUCUGACGGUGAGGGACGAAGCCCUGGGGCGCGAACCGGAUUAGAUACCCGGGUAGUCCANGGUGUAAACGCUGCUUGCUUGAUGUUAGUUGGGCUCCGAGCCCAAUUAGUGUCGGAGAGAAGUUGUUAAGCAAGCUGCCUGGGAAGUACGGUCGCAAGACUGAAACUUAAAGGAAUUGGCGGGGGAGCAC